CAUGUUCAGACUACGCCGUUGUAUCAUGAUACAAGCGGUUUUGGUGAUACAAGGCCAAUAUCAUGUUUCUGGAACGUGAUACAGCCAUACAUUUUUGACACCUCCAAUAUCACCUUCCCGAACGUGAUAUUCCGAAUAUCAUGAUACAACUGCUCGAAUUUUCUACUCGAACGAUGAUUUUCUGGCAACCCUGUACGGAUUUGACAGCAAUCGCUUUCAAACUUUUUGUUUUUGUUUAUCAUUUUGUUGUCGCAAAAUCGUAAAAAACUGGUGUGGAAGUGACGAUUCUACAGAAGUUUUUCGGAUCGAAUGUUCCGACCUCGGUUCCGAAGGUGGCCCCAUAAAAGGAACCAAUUGAUAGGGAAUCAACUACGAGUAGUAUGACUCCGAACCAGUUAGAACAUUCAUCUCGUAGGAACCGCUCCCAGGAAGCUCGCAGUAGUAGACUCACGGGGAAGGAAAGAAAUCGACGUGACCGAACGUUUCCAUGUCAAUAUACGACCACCAGCAAGAACGGAAUUCCCGGAGGAUCUUCAACUGGCAUGCAGCUGCACCGGAACACUUCCUGUUUUCAACACGGAAUCGUUCAAUCUUCGAUUUGUGGAGAAGCUGGAACUUGGUAUAUUAUACGAUGCGAUGGUGGUCCGUGGCAGCAGAUUACCCAACAGCAAAACGCUGGCUAAAUUUAGGACAUUUAUUCGGUGCUUGAUGCAGAAUUAAGCUGCUGUUUGUAGUUAUGAAGAAGUUAUUUCAAGGGAUAUUGGAAUUGUGAACAAAGAUAAGUUGAAUACUAUUGACGUUAUGAUUUAUUACUAGAUCAUUACAGAUUCGUCCGAGCUAUCUACCAAUAAUUUUUAUGUCCUUUUCUAAGGAGUUUCUCCAU